rnacentral:rRNA from 1 species
UUGGCGGGACGGGUGAGUAACGCGUGGGGUAACCUGCCUUACACAGGGGGAUAACACUUAGAAAUAGGUGCUAAAACCGCAUAAGCGCACAGCUUCGCAUGAAGCGGUGUGAAAAACUCCGGUGGUGUAAGAUGGACCCGCGUCUGAUUAGCUUGUUGGCGGGGUAACGGCCCACCAAGGCGACGAUCAGUAGCCGGCCUGAGAGGGCGGACGGCCACAUUGGGACUGAGACACGGCCCAGACUCCUACGGGAGGCAGCAG